GCUCCGGUGGCUUAGUGGUUAGAGCGUCUGCCUCGGAUGCGGAAGGGCGCGGGUUCUACCCCCGGCUGAGUCA